GGUUAUAUUGGUGAUUCCCCUUGCCACUUUAUUGUUAAGCCAAUGGGUUUUUGGUUUUGUCUUGCCUUCACCUACUCAACAUGGCAUCUUAUUGGCUGGUUGGCGUAGCUUGCUUACGAGGGAGGAUGUUUCAGUUAGAAUCGUCCCAGUGAACAAGCACCAAACCAGCGUGCGUGAGUGCAGAGUUGGAUGGUGAGCCGUGCAUUGCAUGACGUGCAAUUUUGUGCUGUUCCUAUCAGAAUAAAGCUCCAUGACUGGUGUUACAAGAUGGAGUUCGUGUUGAUGAUUGAUUGUACACAACGCAAGAAGAGUACUGUUACAGUGGUGCCGUGACCGUUCUUCUGGAU